rnacentral:rRNA from 1 species
UACGGAGGGUGCAAACGUUGCUCGGAAUCAUUGGGCGUAAAGCGCACGUAGGCGGUCCGGAAAGUCGGGUGUGAAAUCCCUCGGCUCAACCGAGGAAGUGCAUUCGAAACUGCAUCGCUGGAGUCUCGGAGAGGAAGGUGGAAUGCUUGGUGUAGAGGUGAAAUUCGUAGAUAUCAAGCAGAACACCUGCGGCGAAGGCGGCCUUCUGGACGAUGACUGACGCUGAGACGCGAAAGCGUGGGGAGCAAACAGG